AACUUAGAUGUAAUUUCCUCCCUCCUCUGAAAGCCCUCAACUGCUAUUGCCCAAAAGUCCUGUUCUUUGCAGCAUUAUUAAUUCGGCAGCCACCUCAUGGGAAUCAAGAAACUCCAUGGGCUGGAAGAAUAGUCCUCAGAGCUCACCAAGACCAAAUCCUCCCAAUGAGCAGAGAAAACAGGUCCAAAGCAGGAGACCGUGCCUUGCCUAUGGCCAGGGUAGUACGUUGGUGUCACACUUAACUCACGCUCCUUCAACUGCAACAUCCCAAACUCUCUACCUAGACACAAAGAACCAGUUUAGGGCCGUGGAGGACUUCCUGCCAAAGCCUAGCUCCGUCUUGGCCAACCUCUAGGCUGUUAAGGGCAACCAUGUGGAAGAUGGUUUGGUAUUUAGCUACAUGUCUUUUUCCCCAGCCCCUCGUCAUUGCCAAGCAGAAAGCCGAGGGCUGGCAGACUGAGGCCUGAGACACAAAGACAGCUUCCAAUUGGGGUUUACAGAAAGGGCAUCACAUGGCCUGGCUGGCAGGCCACACUUUGCCGUGCAGCCCCAUCCAUCAGCCACCCUCUGGGGGAUCUCAUUUUCCAGCUUGGCGUAGGGUACAUUUUCUAAAUGUGACCCUAUUUCUGUUAUGAGAAUCAAAGUGCUCCUACUGCAAGACCAUAAAUACUCAAAAGUGACAGCUAAUGGCAGUGGCAGUUCGCAAAAUGCCAAAUGGCAGCGAGAAGUGGACGCCAUAAAUUACAGCCCGACUCCUCCAUUCUCACUGAGGUGUUUUGUGGGUUUUUAGUGAUGAGAUCUGCUUUCAAGUGGAUUUACAGGGGCUCCCUGUGAAUUCAGGCAGAGCUUUUAAAAGUACUUCUAACAGAUGCCAAAAAGAAAACCAGAAGAGCCUACCACUUAAAGCCUAAAAACAAGUUAAUUAAAAAUGCUUUGAGGAGUUCCCAUCGUGGUUCAGCGGUUAGCAAACCCAACCAGCAUUCAUGAGGACUUGGGUUCGAUCCCUGGCCUCGCUCAGUGGGUUAAAGAUCCAACAUUGCCGUGAGCUAUGGCAUAGGUCGCAGAUGAGGCUCAGAUCUGGCGUUGCUGUGGCUAUGGCAUGGGCUGGCAGCUAUAGCUCCAAUUGGACCCCUAGCCUGGAAACAUCCAUAUGCCAUGGGUACGGCCCUAAAAACACACACACACAGACACGCAAAAAAUGUGUAAAUGCUAAUGAUUAUAAUAACAAUAAUGAAGACAGCUAAGAUAUAUUGGGUCAGGCACUGGGCUAAGCAUCUUACAUGGACUAUUUCAUUGAAUUCUUACAAGAGCUUCACAUCGUAGGUCUACGGUUGUCUUUAUUUUACACAUGUGGCAAUUCAGGUUCUAAGAGGUUAUUAAGCCAUUUAACUUCCCAGGUCACGCAGCGAGCUAGUGAGUGACAGCCUGGAGCCAUGCACACAAGGGGUCUCGAUUUAGAACUCAGGAUCCACGUGGCCCUGCCUAUCUCCCUCCCAGGCCCGCUGUCCCGAGACGGAACACAUCAACGGCUCACAAACCACAGUAGAUGCCCUGGUGCACUCAGUCUAUGGCUGCAUAAGCGUCAAACCGCAGAACCCUGUCAUGAGCCAAUGAACAAAAGGACCAACUUUUAUUUUUUUNAAGGACCAACUUUUAGAAAAUACAAAGGAUCCCUAUUUUCAUGAAACUGUGAAUUCUAGGCCUGAUCUUUUAGUCUCAGCACCCUCAUCAAUAAAAUGAAGGCAAUACGACCUUCUGACUUUAGAAAAAUUUCACGUAUGUGAAAAAAUCCUUCAAAACCCGAAGGCACUGUACAAAUUGUGCUGUUAAUGAAAACGCCAAGAUAAAACGGAUCAAGUCAACCGCCAGCAGGCCUUCGCUCCCAUCCCCUCUACGGAGGCAGAGACUAGAACCUGCUCAGGGUCACAGAAUUGAGAGGCAGUGGCUCAACCUCGAGGCAUCUGACGGGCCAUUUGCUCUUUCCGGUCUCAGGGCCACCCUCGGUGCCCCCGUAUCCCCCACCACACACCAGGGCUCCAGGAAA
rnacentral:lncRNA from 1 species